rnacentral:rRNA from 1 species
GACGAACGCUGGCGGCGUGCUUAACACAUGCAAGUCGAACGGUGAAGCAGAGCUUGCUCUGUGGAUCAGUGGCGAACGGGUGAGUAACACGUGAGUAACCUGCCCUUGACUCUGGGAUAAGCGUUGGAAACGACGUCUAAUACCGGAUAUGACCUUCGGACGCAUGUUCUGUUGGUGGAAAGAUUUUUUGGUCAAGGAUGGACUCGCGGCCUAUCAGCUUGUUGGUGAGGUAAUGGCUCACCAAGGCGACGACGGGUAGCCGGCCUGAGAGGGUGACCGGCCACACUGGGACUGAGACACGGCCCAGACUCCUACGGGAGGCAGCAGUGGGGAAUAUUGCACAAUGGGCGCAAGCCUGAUGCAGCAACGCCGCGUGAGGGACGACGGCCUUCGGGUUGUAAACCUCUUUUAGUAGGGAAGAAGCGAAAGUGACGGUACCGUAAGAAUAAGCACCGGCUAACUACGUGCCAGCCGCCGCAGUAA